rnacentral:rRNA from 1 species
GAUGGACGCUAGCGGCAGGCUUAAUACAUGCAAGUCGAGGGACAGCACAGGUAGCAAUACUGGGUGGUAACCGGCAAACGGGUGCGGAACACGUACACAACCUUCCUUUAAGUGGGGGAUAGCCCAGAGAAAUUUGGAUUAAUACCCCGUAAUAUAGUUGAAUGGCAUCAUUUGAUUAUUAUAGCUACGGCGCUUAAUGAUGGGUGUGCGGCUGAUUAGAUAGUUGGCGGGGUAGCGGCCCACCAAGUCUACGAUCAGUAGCUGAUGUGAGAGCAUGAUCAGCCACACGGGCACUGAGACACGGGCCCGACUCCUACGGGAGGCAGCAGUAAGGAAUAUUGGUCAAUGGACGCAAGUCUGAACCAGCCAUGCCGCGUGAAGGAUUAAGGUCCUCUGGAUUGUAAACUUCUUUUAUUUGGGACGAAAAAGGGCCUUUCUAGGUCAACUGACGGUACCAGAUGAAUAAGCACCGGCUAACUCCGUGCCAGCAGCCGCGGUAA